rnacentral:rRNA from 1 species
CCAAUAGCGUAUAUUAAAGUUGUUGCAGUUAAAAAGCUCGUAGUUGAACUUCGGGGUUCACCCAUUGGUCAGGCUUAAUUGUCUGUACUGGUGAGAUGAGUCUCUACCUUCUGAGGAACUUUCAUGCCAUUUAUUUGGUGUGGUUGGAAAUCAGGACUGUUACUUUGAAAAAAUUAGAGUGUUUAAAGCAGGCUAACGUCUGAAUACAUUAGCAUGGAAUAAUGAAAUAGGACGGACUGAUUCUAUUUCGUUGGUUUCUAGGAUCACCGUAAUGAUUAAUAGGGAUAGUUGGGGGCAUUAGUAUUCAAUUGUCAGAGGUGAAAUUCUUGGAUUUAUUGAAGACUAACUACUGCGAAAGCAUUUGCCAAGGAUGUUUUCAUUAAUCAAGAACGAAAGUUAGGGGAUCGAAGACGAUCAGAUACCGUCGUAGUCUUAACCAUAAACUAUGCCGACUAGGGAUCGGACGAAGUUAAUUUUAUAAUGACGCGUUCGGCACCUUACG